rnacentral:lncRNA from 1 species
GAAGAGCUCACUCCCCUUAGUUUUUUCCAGGGAGUGAAACCAGGGUCAAUGGGAGGAAAUAACACAAGCAAUAAUGCCACGGAGGAUAGUGUUUAUCUGUUACUCUUGUGAGCCCACCACCAUCGUGGGGCCUACCUGCAUGUGUCCCCUUCCAGACUCAUGGAUAAUCACCGUGUCACUCAGUCUUGGCCCUAACUUCUCCUGCACAGCAAAGACUCCACAUCCAGAAAUACCAGAAAGCCAGCACAAGCCACAUCCGUAUGUCCCAGCCUGCUCUUACGAAGAACGGUACGGGUGUUCUUCUGGAAGGAGAGAACAAGAGGUUUUCACAACUCCACAUGGUCCUUCAAAACCCAGUGAAUAAUGACUUCACGGAAUUGCAUUUCAACUUGCUUGUGCUAUCAACACAGGAACACAGAUCAGUGAGUUCUAUAUCAUAUAACACAGAGAAAGCUAUGGGAGACACCAUAGUUUCGCCUCUUACCUCCUAUGCCCAAAACUUUUAGAGAUUUGUCCAAAUUAAAAA